AGAUCAACUCUCCGGUGAGAGGCUCCAGGACACCUAGAAACAGCAGCAGGCGGUUUUCAGAAGGACUGAUGCAGCUCUGGAACCAGGCUGGCGGGAAGACUUCACUCUACAAAUGGUGUCAGAAGUGAGAAGUUUCCCCCUACACUUCCCCAAUAAAAAUUUCAUUUUAUUUAACUCUUCA